CACGUUUUGGAGGCCAGCAAAACAGUUUCCACUCUCCAAGAAAAUGGAGGAAGGGCAGUGUUUUGUGUUCUGUGAGGGCUUUUCUCAUUUAAUGUCUGCAGAUGACCCUAAAAACUUCAUGAAAUGAAUGGAAAUAACAGCAGCUGCACCCAAAGCGGACUGAGGAGGAGUUGGUGAUGCACAAGAAGACCUGCAGACGGCCGGUCAGACAGGGGAGUUUCAGCAACACAGCGUAUCCAUUAAGGGUUUCCACACAUGAACAGACAGAGACGGAAAUAAGAGAGGGAGCGGCCCAAGGACACCCUGAUAACACAGAGUGG